UGGGGGAUUUUGCACAAUGGGCGCAAGCCUGAUGCAGCGACGCCGCGUGAGGGAUGAAGGCCUUCGGGUUGUAAACCUCUUUCGCUGGGUUGAAAGGCCAUGCUUUGGGUGUGGUUGAUUUGAACUGGUAAAGAAGUACCGGCUAACUACGUGCCAGCAGCCGCGGUAAUACGUAGGUUACUAGCGUUGUCCGGAUUUAUUGGGCGUAAAGGGCUUGUAGGUGGUUUGUCGCGUCUGUCGUGAAAUCCUGUGGCUUAACCAUGGGCUUGCGGUGGGUACGGGCAGGCUUGAGUGCGGUAGGGGAGGCUGGAAUGCCUGGUGUAGCGGUGGAAUGCGCAGAUAUCAGGAGGAACACCGGUGGGGAAGGCGGGUCUCUGGGCCGUUACUGAAACUGAGGAGCGAAAGCGUGGGGAGCGAACAGG
rnacentral:rRNA from 1 species